GGUCAAGUGACUAAGCGUGCACGGUGGAUGCCUUGGCAGUCAGAGGCGAUGAAGGACGUGGUAACCUGCGAUAAGGUUCGGUGAGUCGGUAAACAGACUUUGACCCGGACAUUUCCGAAUGGGGAAACCCACCCAGUAUAAGCUGGGUAUCUCUUAGUUGAAUACAUAGACUGAGAGAGGCGAACCCGGGGAACUGAAACAUCUAAGUACCCGGAGGAAAAGAAAUCAACCGAGAUUCCCCUAGUAGCGGCGAGCGAACGGGGACCAGCCCUUAAGCUGUUUUAACAUUAGCAGAACACUCUGGAAAGUGUGGCCAUAGUGGGUGAAAGCCCCGUAUGCGAAAGUGUUUUAACAGUGAAAUCGAGUAGGACGGGACACGUGUUAUCCUGUCUGAAUAUGGGGGGACCAUCCUCCAAGGCUAAAUACUCCUGACUGACCGAUAGUGAACCAGUACCGUGAGGGAAAGGCGAAAAGAACCCCUGUGAGGGGAGUGAAAUAGAACCUGAAACCGUGUACGUACAAGCAGUGGGAGCGGUCCUUGAGACCGUGACUGCGUACCUUUUGUAUAAUGGGUCAGCGACUUAAUUUUAGUAGCAAGGUUAACCGUUUAGGGGAGCCGUAGGGAAACCGAGUCUUAAUAGGGCGU
rnacentral:rRNA from 1 species